UUGUUUGUAGUCCAACGGUUUGAAUUAUUGCCUUCCAAGAAAUAGACCCGGGUUCGAUCCCCGGCAAACACA
rnacentral:tRNA from 1 species